CUGGAAAGAAAACCUGUCGGUUAUUGGAAGAAGUACUGCUGUGCACAUUUCACGUGAUCCGCUGUCGGGGCUGAAGGCCCCGGGGAGAAGCGGAAGCAAGUUCAUUGACAUAUUGCGUAGAAACUGUAACAGAGUAGUCGCUGCGCGAGCAGCGGUUAAUAUGAUUAAAAGAGUAAGUGAAUAAGGGCGCACGGGGGAUGCCUAGGCUCUCAGAGGCGAAGAAGGACGUGCCAAGCUGCGAAAAGCCGCGGGGAUCGGCUGAGGCGAAAUGAUCCGCGGAUGUCCGAAUGGGGCAACCCAGUCCGAUAAGGACUAUGUCGUAAGACAGGCGAACGUGGGGAACUGAAACAUCUAAGUACCCACAGGAGGAGAAAACAACAGUGAUUCCGAUAGUAGCGGCG
rnacentral:misc_RNA from 1 species